UGUUAGUUGAGCUGAAGGAAUUUAUCAUGGAGAGAAAACACGGUGUACUUGAGGAAGGGGCUUUGCUUGUUCUCUAAUUAAAAUAUAAUUUCCCUGAACAGGUGCUGUCUGAGUAAUGCCAGAUGCAAUGGAAUCCUCUCCUUCUCCUGAUCUUUUAGGUACAACCCAGCUUUGAGUGAGGAAUUGAAAACAGGAUCUAUUCCUUAUUUGUGCCCCAAAUGGACUUCUAUUUAGAAUGACUUUAGUUGCAUUAGAAAGUGGAGCUGAGUUCUUUCCUGGUGCACUGACUUGGAAUUUCAAUCACGUCCUUGUUGCAAAGUGGGAGGGUUACCAGCCUGGGCGAAAGCAGAACUCAGGAUCUCACAAUUUUAGCAGCAUCAGCUGAAACAAGACUGAAAACAGCACUUAAGAGGAUUUUGUGUGGAAGGAAAAAGGGUUGAGACUGCACUGAAGACAGAAGCUUAGUGGUUGCCUAAAGCCACCAUAAAUAAAAUACUCCUUAUUCUUUCA